CUGUCACUUAUAGAUGGAUCCGCGCUGCAUUAGCUAGUUGGUAAGGUAACGGCUUACCAAGGCAACGAUGCAUAGCCGACCUGAGAGGGUGAUCGGCCACACUGGAACUGAGACACGGUCCAGACUCCUACGGGAGGCAGCAGUAGGGAAUCUUCCGCAAUGGGCGAAAGCCUGACGGAGCAACGCCGCGUGAGUGAUGAAGGUCUUCGGAUCGUAAAACUCUGUUAUUAGGGAAGAACAUAUGUGUAAGUAACUGUGCACAUCUUGACGGUACCUAAUCAGAAAGCCACGGCUAACUACGUGCCAGCAGCCGCGGUAAUACGUAGGUGGCAAGCGUUAUCCGGAAUUAUUGGGCGUAAAGCGCGCGUAGGCGGUUUUUUAAGUCUGAUGUGAAAGCCCACGGCUCAACCGUGGAGGGUCAUUGGAAACUGGAAAACUUGAGUGCAGAAGAGGAAAGUGGAAUUCCAUGUGUAGCGGUGAAAUGCGCAGAGAUAUGGAGGAACACCAGUGGCGAAGGCGACUUUCUGGUCUGUAACUGACGCUGAUGUGCGAAAGCGUGGGGAUCAAACAGGAUUAGAUACCCUGGUAGUCCACGCCGUAAACGAUGAGUGCUAAGUGUUAGGGGGUUUCCGCCCCUUAGUGCUGCAGCUAACGCAUUAAGCACUCCGCCUGGGGAGUACGACCGCAAGGUUGAAACUCAAAGGAAUUGACGGGGACCCGCACAAGCGGUGGAGCAUGUGGUUUAAUUCGAAGCAACGCGAAGAACCUUACCAAAUCUUGACAUCCUUUGACAACUCUAGAGAUAGAGCCUUCCCCUUCGGGGGACAAAGUGACAGGUGGUGCAUGGUUGUCGUCAGCUCGUGUCGUGAGAUGUUGGGUUAAGUCCCGCAACGAGCGCAACCCUUAAGCUUAGUUGCCAUCAUUAAGUUGGGCACUCUAAGUUGACUGCCGGUGACAAACCGGAGGAAGGUGGGGAUGACGUCAAAUCAUCAUGCCCCUUAUGAUUUGGGCUACACACGUGCUACAAUGGACAAUACAAAGGGCAGCGAAACCGCGAGGUCAAGCAAAUCCCAUAAAGUUGUUCUCAGUUCGGAUUGUAGUCUGCAACUCGACUACAUGAAGCUGGAAUCGCUAGUAAUCGUAGAUCAGCAUGCUACGGUGAAUACGUUCCCGGGUCUUGUACACACCGCCCGUCACACCACGAGAGUUUGUAACACCCGAAGCCGGUGGAGUAACCUUUUAGGAGCUAGCCGUCGAAGGUGGGACAAAUGAUUGGGGUGAAGUCGUAACAAGGUAGCCGUAUCGGAAGGUGCGGCUGGAUCACCUCCUUUCUAAGGA
rnacentral:rRNA from 1 species